GACGAACGCUGGCGGCGUGCCUAACACAUGCAAGUCGAACGAGGUCCAUGCAGUGGCAACACUGCGGAAGACCUAGUGGCGAACGGGUGAGUAACACGUGAGGAACCUGCCCCGAAGACCGGGAUAACCCUCCGAAAGGAGAGCUAAUACCGGAUACCCCCACCGGAUCGCAUGAUCUGGUGAGGAAAUGGAUUCCGCUUCGGGAGGGCCUCGCGGCCUAUCAGCUAGUUGGUGGGGUAACGGCCCACCAAGGCAUCGACGGGUAGCUGGUCUGAGAGGAGGAUCAGCCACACUGGGACUGAGACACGGCCCAGACUCCUACGGGAGGCAGCAGUGGGGAAUCUUGCGCAAUGGGCGAAAGCCUGACGCAGCAACGCCGCGUGGGGGAUGAAGGCUCUCGGGUUGUAAACCCCUUUCAGCAGGGACGAAUCAAGACGGUACCUGCAGAAGAAGCCCCGGCUAACUACGUGCCAGCAGCCGCCGUAACAC
rnacentral:rRNA from 1 species